rnacentral:snoRNA from 1 species
GUGUCCCCUUCAAGCAAAGAAUGGUAGGCAAUGGUUACAAAGAGCAGCUUCCUUGGGAGUGCAUGUACCAUGUUGCCGACAUGGUUGCCCAGGGGACCUUGGAAACAGUU